AGCUUUUAAUUAGAGCUGGUAGAAGUCUUCCAGAAGCUGUCAUGAUGAUGAUCCCUGAAGCAUGGCAAAAUGACAAGAAUAUGGAUCCUCAGAGGAAGGCGUUGUAUGAAUACUUCUCAUGUCUCAUGGAACCGUGGGAUGGACCAGCUCUUAUUUCAUUUACUGAUGGCCGCUAUCUUGGAGCUACUUUGGAUCGCAAUGGACUGCGUCCUGGUCGUUUCUAUGUAACUCACAGUGGGCGGGUUAUAAUGGCCAGUGAGGUUGGUGUUGUAGACAUUGCACCGGAAGAUGUUUCACGGAAAGGAAGGCUCAAUCCUGGGAUGAUGCUUUUAGUGGAUUUUGAAAAUCAUGCUGUUGUAGAUGAUGAAGCCCUGAAGCAGCAAUAUUCUCUUGCUAGGCCUUAUGGAGAGUGGCUUAAAAAGCAGAAGAUUGAACUGAAGGACAUUGUUGGCUCAAUUGAUAAACGUGAAACGACCUCUCCAGCAAUU
rnacentral:misc_RNA from 1 species